rnacentral:rRNA from 1 species
UAGGGAAUCUUCCGCAAUGGGCGAAAGCCUGACGGAGCAACGCCGCGUGAGUGAUGAAGGUCUUCGGAUCGUAAAACUCUGUUAUUAGGGAAGAACAAAUGUGUAAGUAACUAUGCACAUCUUGACGGUACCUAAUCAGAAAGCCACGGCUAACUACGUGCCAGCAGCCGCGGUAAUACGUAGGUGGCAAGCGUUUUCCGGAAUUAUUGGGCGUAAAGCGCGCGUAGGCGGUUUUUUAAGUCUGAUGUGAAAGCCAACGGCUCAACCGUGGAGGGUCAUUGGAAACUGGUUGACUUGAGUGCAGAAGAGGAGAGUGGAAUUCAGUGUGUAGCGGUGAAAUACGUAGAUAUAUGGAGGAACACCAGUGGCGAAGGCGACUCUUUGGUCUGUAACUGACGCUGAGGCUCGAAAGCGUGGGUAGCAAACAGG